rnacentral:rRNA from 1 species
UACGGAGGGUGCAAGCGUUAUCCGGAUUCACUGGGUUUAAAGGGUGCGUAGGUGGGUUUGUAAGUCAGUGGUGAAAUCUCCGGGCUUAACCUGGAAACUGCCAUUGAUAUUAUAGAUCUUGAAUUUUCUGGAGGUAAGCGGAAUAUGUCAUGUAGCGGUGAAAUGCUUAGAUAUGACAUAGAACACCAAUUGCGAAGGCAGCUUACUACAGGAACAUUGACACUGAGGCACGAAAGCGUGGGGAUCAAACAGG